rnacentral:misc_RNA from 1 species
GAUGAAGAACGUAGCGAAAUGCGAUACGUAAUGUGAAUUGCAGAAUUCAGUGAAUCAUCGAGUCUUUGAACGCACAUUGCGCCCCCUGGUAUUCCGGGGGGCAUGCCUGUCCGAGCGUCAUUGCUGCCCUCAAGCACGGCUUGUGUGUUGGGCCUCCGUCCUCCUCCCGGGGGACGGGCCCGAAAGGCAGCGGCGGCACCGCGUCCGGUCCUCGAGCGUAUGGGGCUUCGUCACCCGCUCUUGUAGGCCCGGCCGGCGCUUGCCGACACAUCAAUCUUUUUUCCAGGUUGACCUCGGAUCAGGUAGGGAUACACGCUGAACUUAAGCAUAUCAAUAAGCGGAGGA